ACCUGGGUGGCUCAGUUGGUUGAGCGUCUGACUUCAACUCAGGUCAUGAUCUCACAGUCCGUGACUUCGAGCCCCACUUCAGGCU
rnacentral:tRNA from 1 species